AAAAAAAUUACUUCAUAUUUGGAGUAUAUAAUUAUUCCAUGAAAAACCUUUUUUUCCCCCAAUAUUGGGGAUUGAAAGCAGGGACACUCUACCUCUGAGCUAUAUCCCCAGCCCUUAUUUUGAGAUAGAGUCUUGCUAAAUUGCUGAGGCUAGGCUCAAACUUCUGAACCUCCUGCCUCACCCUCCCAAGUCUCUGGGAUUAUAAUAGGUAUGUGCCACCAAGCCCAGCUGAAAGGCCUUCUAUAAACCAUUUUUAUGGAUAAGUUUAUCAGUUUCCUAGGGAUGCCAUAACCAAUUACUGUGAACUGGAGAGCUUAACACAACAGAAAAGUAUUCCCUCACACUUCUAGAAGCCAGAAGUCUGAAAUCAAGGUGUCAACAUUGCUAAUUUCCCUCUAGACACUCUAAGGGAGAAUCCUUCCUGGCUUUCUGGCUUCUUAUUGUCAUCAACAUUCCUUGGUUUCCUUGACUUCCUUGACUUGUGAACAUGUCAUUGCAAUAUUGACCACCAUCUUCAUGUUGCUUUUCUUCAGGGUCUGUCUUCUUUGCUUCUUUCUUAUGUCCCUCAAUCUUUCUGUUAUAUAGAUACUUGUCUUUGGAUUUAGUCCCCACUCAGAUAAUCCAGGAUGAUCUCAUCUCCAGAUCCUUAACUUAAUUACAACUGCACAGUUCCCUCCGCCCCUGACAAAUAAGGUAACAUCCACAGAUUCCAGGGAUUUUGAUGCCACCACUCAACCCACUAUGGAAAGUUCAGGAAAUGCUGUGCUAAACAAAUUCAAUAGGUUUCUUGGCUGCAAGAUUUUGCAAAGCCCUGAACUUGCUACAUUGCAUUAAGAAUCUCCAAGAGUAAGAGAAAUAUCCAAUUCAGUGAUUCCCAAAUUUUGUAUUGGGAAUUGUAUUUGCAGAAGUGAUGUUCCACAGAACAAAGAACACUCUCUGGCAUGACCUUUGGCAACACUGAUUUUGGACUCUAGCCUCCAGAACUUUGAGACAACAAAUUUCUGUUAUUUUUAAGUCAGCGACCCAGUUGGUGGUAUUUUGUUACAGCAGCUCUAGGAAACCAAAACAGGAUGCUUCAAAGAUACUCCACUUAAAAAAAAAUAAAUAAAGUGGGGCUUCUUUAAGCAUUCUCAUUAU
rnacentral:lncRNA from 1 species